rnacentral:rRNA from 1 species
UACCAGCACCCCGAGUGGUCGGGACGAUUAUUGGGCCUAAAGCAUCCGUAGCCGGUUUUACAAGUCCUCCGUUAAAUCCAACUGCUUAACAGAUGGGCCGCGGAGGAUACUAUAAGACUAGGAGGCAGGAGAGGCAAGCGGUACUCAGUGGGUAGGGGUAAAAUCCGUUGAUCCAUUGAAGACCACCAGUGGCGAAGGCGGCUUGCCAAUACGCGCUCGACGGUGAGGGAUGAAAGCUGGGGGAGCAAACCGG